AUAUGUUUUCAUUUUGUAUCAUGUUACCUUCAGGAGUCAUGCCGUUAUUGUCAAGUAGAGUGGGAAGAACAUUUUGGGAAAAAAUGUUCAGAGGUUGAAAAGAAAGAUGAGACCAAAUUAAGACUGGAAUAUGAAGAGAAAAUGACAAAAGCCAAGGUGAGAGUUUGUCACAGAUGCAAGGCACAGUUUAUGAAGCUGGAUGGUUGUAAUAAGAUGACAUGUCGCUGUGGGGCCAAAAUGUGUUACAUCUGCAGACAACCAAAUAUUGAUUAUAAUCAUUUCUGUCGCCAUCCUCGAGAUCCAGGCAAAGAAUGCACCACCUGUAAGGCCUGCAACUUGUGGACCAAUCCAGAGGUUUGAUUUCUCUUUAUUAGCAUCUUACGUACUGACUGCCUCAUAGUAUUUCUCCCCACUUCACAUACAUACAUAUGAACUUUUCAUAGAGCUCACAGAGGAUUCUGAAGGGGGAUUUACUUAGUAAUAUAAACUUUUGCAUCCAAAAAAUUGUUUUAAAAAAUACAUUUUUGUGCCCCCCCCCCCAUGAGUGGUGGGGGCAUAUAGAUUUGCUCUUGUCCGUCCAUCCGAGGUUCGUGACACGCCUAGCUCAAAAAGUAUUUGAUAUAAAUUGAUGAAACCUUGCCUGAGUCUUUAUCAUGAUAUGAACUUGCGCACCUUCUAUUUUUCGUCUGGCUCCGCCCCCUAAUUUUAGAGUUAUGGCCCCUGAAAUAGUCAAAAAUGCACAUUUUCACCUUGUGACAGGCCUAGCUUAUAAAGUACACUCUAAACCCAUUAUAACGCUACUCGAUAUACCGCGGUCCUCGAUAUAACGCUGUAUGGCCUUGGCGCCCAAAUUUUACAGGGUAAAAAAAAAAUUAAAACUACAAGUACCUGUGUUCUUUAACACCUUUCCAUGACAACUGUCACAAAAAUCAAUAAUUGUCUGCUAGCUUACUUGUUUGCAUAUCGCCUUUGUUAAAGUUUCAAUACAUGUAGACAUGUGACAAUUAGGCAAUCAGUACCGUGUCAAAAUUAGAUUGUUUGCAUAACAAGCGUGUAACAUUGGUCAGUCAACUAUCAAACCGUUUAAGUUUGCACCAAUUAAGCAGAUGACAUGAUCACUUGAGUGAAUAAAAAAUCGAAUUUUGUAAUAAACUGCAGCCGUUUUUCGUAAUCAUCACACUCAAUUCAUCGGAAAUAACGAAGAUUCGACGCACUGAAAGCCUUGCUGAGAA